UCAUCUAUAUAUUUAUACGUGUGUAUGCACACACACACACAGUUUUUUUUUAAAACAAAUGAGAUGUAUCAACUAGGAUCUCAGGAAAGAAUCCACAUAUUAAGUAGGAAAAGUUCAAUAUGAAGAAUUAUUAACUAGUAAUGGGAUUAACUACUAAAGGGUAAAAAGAACUCUAAAACGAUGCAAUAGCAGAUAUAGGGAACGGCCACUGCUUGUAAAGUUGAGGCAAAGUGCUCAAGGAAGGAACAGAUUUGGAAGAGGCCCCUUUCCUCUAAGACUGAUCAUUGGACUUUAUGGAAGAGUUAUCACAGAUGAUGCCCCUGGUUGAUUAAAUUUCACAAAUUGCUGUCCACUGAGACUGGAAUGCAGGAAACUGCUGCGGGCUGGACUGUGGAGUUGGAGUGCUGGCAAACUCUCUAGGAAACCACUGAGAUUCCAGGAAAUGGCUCACAAGGAUGCUGGCAGAAUUCAAUGGGAAGACACAAGAAUGUGGUUGAAACUCACUGGGAAGCUGCCAGGUUGGAGUGCUGUUGAAACUUGAUGAUGGAGGACAUGAUCUUAAAGACAAGAAGCUUGUAGAAAUGCAAGAUCAUUCAUUUUGAUGGAUCCUCUCAAGUUGCUAUGUACAGGCUUUACCAGUGACUAUUUUCCUCAGCUGUGUGAUAUCUGCCCUCUAUAAUAUAGACCUCAUGUGAUCGCCACUCCUGCAGAGUACCAGCAAUCAAGUAUCAUCUUAAUCUAUUAUGAAGCUAGAGAUUCUCUGUGCUGCAGAAAAUUUGAAGAGCUUUCUGGGCUACAGAUGACUUGAAGCUGGGCUCAAGACAGUGUAAGGCCUGGUUUACUUUCACUUUACCUUAAUUCCUGGUGUGAAACUGGUCUCAUGGCGAGCCACACUGGAGCAGAGGCAGAAGAAACAUCAGUAAUACUGAUACUGUCUUCAUUUUAAAAUUUGCUGCUUUGUUCAUUGUGGAUUUUUCAUUAUUUUAUUAAUUAAUUUUAAUUAAUAAUACUACAUUAAAGUAUUAUUUAUGUGGAUCUGUAAGUUUUUGGGCCCUCUACAUUCUGUGGCCAAGGUGAGUACUUCACUUCCCUCACUGUACCCCAAGCCUUGGGAUUUUUACAUCCUAGGAGUUUGAAAAGACAAAGCUCUGAAUUCCCCCAACUUCCUAUAAGAUAUGAUUAAAGAUUUUUAGGGUA